rnacentral:rRNA from 1 species
CGCCUUGCCAGCCCGCUCAGAAACUCAAAUGAAUUGACGGGGGCCCGCACAAGCGGUGGAGCAUGUGGUUUAAUUCGAUGAUACGCGAGGAACCUUACCUGGGCUCAAAUGUAUGUUGACGUAUUCUGAAAGGGAUACUUCUUCGGACAAUAUACAAGGUGCUGCAUGGUUGUCGUCAGCUCGUGCCGUGAGGUGUCGGGUUAAGUCCCAUAACGAGCGCAACCCCUAUCAUUAGUUGCCAUCAGGUCAAGCUGGGGACUCUAAUGAAACUGCCUACGCAAGUAGUGAGGAAGGUGGGGAUGACGUCAAAUCAGCACGGCCCUUACGGCCUGGGCUACACACGUGCUACAAUGGUCGGUACAAAGGGUUGCCAAGCCGCGAGGUGGAGCUAAUCCCAUAAAACCGAUCGUAGUCCGGAUCGCAGUCUGCAACUCGACUGCGUGAAGUCGGAAUCGCUAGUAAUCGUGAAUCAGAAUGUCACGGUGAAUACGUUCCCGGGCCUU